AUAAUUCUUAUUUCAUAUAUGUUUCAGUUAUUGCAUGAACGAAACAAAGACAUAUAUAAAACCAACGUUCUUACCUUGAAAUUCGCCCUUUGGACAUUAAAUGUAUCUAUAUUACAAUACAUUAACUAUGCUUGGUGAUUUGAUUCUUAUCCAUUUCUUAGUUAUCAUGUAAAAGAACAAAUAUAACUGACUCCUAUCAUUCGUGUCAAUAUAAAAAAAAUAUCUCUUGUCAGACUCAUAUGGAUAAUGUCACCACUGUUGAAACAGUGUCAGUUGAGAACAAAAAAUAAAUAAACUUAUGUGCCAAGUUUAGAUUGCCUUACACUUCAUGCUUGGAAACACGUAUGUCGUGCCACCUGGAGCUCCGUUUUGUUUUGAUUGUAGAAUUACUUAUGUGAUCAAUACUAGUAUUUUUGGUAUUUUCUUGGAAAGUGGCUGUUUUAACAAAAUAUUAUAAAAUUACUCAACAAUGUGUGUGGAGCUCCAUCGAUGGUGAACAGCAUAAAAACAAGUAAGUAAUUUGAAGGGUAAAGAAGGAGUAAUAAUACAGAUUUUUUAAAAUUUGCGAGAUUUACAUUCUACGACAGUGGAAAGUGGGUGUUUUAAUAAAAAAUAAUAAAAUUACUUAACAAUGUGUGGAGCUCCAUCGAUGGUGAACAGCAUAAAAACAAUUUUUACAAGAAACAUAUGUUCAGAAAACCGUUGAAAUUGCAUAGAUCUGGUUGUUUUUGUGUCUUUGUUGUCCUCAUAACAGAUAACUUCUACUUUGCCUGCAAAAAUGUGGCCGCGUCCUUUCGGUGGUUGAGUGGACGAUGUCUGUAUUUUCCAGCCGAAGAAUGCUGUGACGUUAUCGUAAGAGAAAGAAUAUGAGGCGGUGUCCAGUUUCUGUAUCAACUAAGUGCAGCUUUCAUAAUUCUCCUCCACCAGAGCAAAGAGGUCUGAUGAGUCAUCAAAACUUUGUUAUGUAUACAUACUUAUGGCAAAGGUACAAGGGCUAUCUACCACCAUACUUUAUUUUGAAAAAUGAUCAAAGACAGCCAGUCAGAAGCACCCUUGAUGUGAACAUGCCACAAAAAUGUUAGCAAGUAUAAGAGGAAUAAAAAAAUGCCUUCAUGUUACUGGAAAUCUAUAUACUGCUGUUUUUGCUUCCUUACAA